AUCAAGGAUUUGUAUAGUGAGAUUAAUAUAACUAAGAAGUGUGUAAAAUUUUAAGCAAUAAUCAUAAAUCGUUUUUGAGAUACGGCGCGACAUGUGAAAACCCCCUUUUAAAAAAAAAAAAAAAUCAAUAUCUCAAAAAUAAAAUUUUGAAUCAAAACCAAAAAGUAUACAGAUCUUUAGAUUAAUAUAACUAAGAAGUGUGUAAAAUUUUAAGCAAUAAUCAUAAAUUGUUUUUGAGAUAUGGCGCGACAUGUGAAAACCCCCCUUUUAAAAAAAAAAAAAAUCAAUAUCUCAAAAAUAAAAUUUUGAAUCAAAACCAAAAAGUAUACAGAUCUUUAGAUUAAUAUAACUAAGAAGUGUGUAAAAUUUUAAGCAAUAAUCAUAAAUCGUUUUUGAGAUACGGCGCGACAUGUGAAAAACCCCUCCCCCUUUUUUUUACAAAAUACUCAAUAACUCAAAAAUAAAAUUUUGAAUCAUCACCAAAAAGUAUACAGAUCUUAAGAUUAAUAUAACUAAGAAGUGUGUAAAGUUUUAAGCAAUAGUCAUAAAUUGUUUUUGAGAUACGGCGCGGCAUGUGAAAAAAAACACACACCUGUUUUAGUUACUAAGUCCCGUAACUCAAAAAGUUUUAAUCUUAUUUUCACCAAAAAGUAUACAGAUCGUUUGACCAUCAUAAGAAACCACUAUAUUAAGUUUCAUGAAAUUUGGAUAAGUCAUUCUCAAGUUACGGUGCGACAUUUUUACGCCGGACAGACAGACG